UACGAACUGUGCGAACGUUAUUCGGAAUCACUGGGCUUACAGGGUGCGUAGGCGGCUUGUUAAGUAGGGUGUGAAAGCCCCCGGCUCAACCGGGGAAUUGCGCCCUAAACUGGCGAGCUGGAGUGAGAUAGGGGUGUGUGGAACUUCCAGUGGAGCGGUGAAAUGUGUUGAUAUUGGAAGGAACACCGGAGGCGAAAGCGGUGUACUGGGGCUGGUCUGACGCUGAGGCACGAAAGCCAGGGGAGCGAACGGG
rnacentral:rRNA from 1 species